CUACGGGAUGCUCCAGUGAGGAAUAUUGCACAAUGGGGGGAACCCUGAUGCAGCAACGCCGCGUGGAGGAUGACGCAUUUCGGUGUGUAAACUCCUUUUAUAUGUCAAGAAAAUGACGGUAACAUAUGAAUAAGCACCGGCUAACUCCGUGCCAGCAGCCGCGGUAAUACGGAGGGUGCAAGCGUUACUCGGAAUCACUGGGCGUAAAGGACGCGUAGGCGGGUUGGAAAGUCAGGUGUGAAAUCCUACAGCUUAACUGUAGAACUGCACUUGAAACUUCUAAUCUAGAGUAUGGGAGGGGGAGAUGGAAUUAGUGGUGUAGGGGUAGAAUCCGUAGAUAUCACUAGGAAUACCUAAAGCGAAGGCGAUCUCCUGGAACAUUACUGACGCUAAGGCGUGAAAGCGUGGGGAGCAAACAGGAUUAGAUACCCCUGUAGUC
rnacentral:rRNA from 1 species